rnacentral:rRNA from 1 species
ACGAAGGGGGCUAGCGUUGUUCGGAAUUACUGGGCGUAAAGCGCGUGUAGGCGGUUGCCCAAGUCGGGUGUGAAAGCCUUGAGCUCAACUCAAGAAAUGCACUCGGUACUGGGUGACUAGAGGACCGGAGAGGAUAGUGGAAUUCCCAGUGUAGUGGUGAAAUACGUAGAGAUUGGGAAGAACACCAGUGGCGAAGGCGGCUAUCUGGACGGUUUCUGACGCUAAGACGCGAAAGCGUGGGGAGCAAACAGG